GGUUUUUUGACACUGAUUCUGGAAGUAUAAAAAUUGAUGGUCAAGAUAUACGAGAUGUUACACUGGAGAGUCUGAGAAGGUCUAUUGGUGUUGUCCCACAAGACACAGUACUAUUCAAUGAUACGAUAUUUCACAACAUUCAUUAUGGUCGUCUUUCAACAACAGAAGAGGAAGUGUAUGAUGCUGCUCGACGUGCUGCAAUCCAUGACACUAUAUUGAAUUUCCCUGAGAAAUAUUCUACUGUGGUGGGGGAGCGAGGGCUCAAGUUAAGCGGUGGUGAGAAGCAACGUGUUGCGCUGGCACGUGCAUUUUUGAAAGCCCCUCCUAUUCUGCUGUGUGAUGAAGCUACAAGUGCACUUGACAGCACAACAGAAGCAGAGAUAUUAAGUGCAUUGAAGUCAUUAGCCAAUAAUCGAACUUCAAUUUUCAUUGCUCACAGGCUUACAACUGCAAUGCAGUGUGAUGAGAUAAUAGUUCUGGAGAAUGGGAAGGUGGUUGAGCAGGGACCCCAUGAAGUUCUAUUAACCAAGGCAGGGAGAUAUGCACAGUUAUGGGCACAGCAAAAUAAUUCGGUGGAUUCCCUUGAUGCAGCUAUUAAAUUGGAGGCAUAACUGUUAUCUUCCUCUCUAUUUAACCCUUCGUCCUGGUACCAUACAAAUAGAAUGUUUACUCAGCUUUUUAUUUUUGUGAGUAAGCCCAUGUAAUGGGACUUGGGCACUAGGGCACUUGAUGGGUGACUCUUGCGGGGUUGCAUCCUCAGAAUGAGUGUGCAAAGGGGUAACAUUUGCCAUAUCUUGGAAGAAAAGAAGCAACAAUAUGCUACAUAAGAAGCUAUUUGGAACUGAAAUUAUGGUGAGAUGUACAUAAGCCUUCACAACUCACUCAAUAGCAUAGAUCAAAAAAGACUUGAGAUCUAAUUUUUCUCACAUAUCUAUUUUCUGGUCCUUAGAUUGGAUGAGAUUGAAUAUAGUUGAGAUGAACUUGUUUCCCAUCAUUGUUAUAGAGUAACUGUAU
rnacentral:misc_RNA from 1 species